rnacentral:lncRNA from 10 species
GAACUUAAGUUGUAAAAAACUAAGACACUGAUAUUUAUAUUAAGCAUAUGAACAAUGAUAUAUUAUUCCUAGGGUUAAAGUGUACACUGAAAAACUGAUGCACAAAGAUGCACACUGUAUACAUGUGUAUACAUACAUGUAUAUAGUGAAAAUGUAUAAUUAAAAAAAUCUGACACCUAUGACUAAUCAGUCUUUAGUGAUUUUUAGAAAUGUAAGAAAUGUAUGUACAAUAACAUACAUAUUGUUAGAUUCUGAUUAAAGGCAUAAAGGUACCAUGAAAUGGAAAACAAUGCACCUUUAUAAUAAACCAAAGGAGGUACAUCUAUAUUCUUAUGCUGUGCUGAAUAAAAUAAAAGACAAAGCUAUUAAAUCCAUAUUGUAAUGAUAUUUUUAUUUUCUUCUUUGUAGGAAAUUACUAUAUUCACCCUGCUGACUUUUCAGAAAUUCUGUCUAUAAUAAUAAUAAUGAUGAUUCUACAGUUUUAUAGAUUAUUUGUCUUCCAGUAUGCUCUGUGUUUAUGUGUGCAUUGCCUCAUUUAUUCUAACAACAUUCCUGUAAAGAAAGUGAGGUCAGGCAUUAUCUUCCUCAUUUGCCGGUGAUGUAAAGGGAGCAAAGUGAAGCUAAAAGACUCGCAGGAGAUGGGGAUUCACUAUGUUGCCCAGCUAGUCUUGAACUGCUGGACUCUCAAGCAAUCCUCCAGACUCAACCUCCCAAAGUGCUGGGAUUACAGUCAU